GUUACAAAAUAGAGUUGUUGAACUAGAAGAGAGUAAUUGCAAACUAGCGAUUCUCAAAGCUCGGAGAGAUGCCGCAAAAGUGGCAGGCUUUCCUGUCUUAAAUUUAGGGAGCAAGCAUGUUAGUAGUGACAAAGUCAGAGAUAAAGUAAAAGAUAUAAAAGAUAUGGAGACUGCUCUUAAAGAAUUAAUGGUAGUGUAAUUACCUUUCUUUCGAACAUUUACCUUUGUAACUGAUUUGAGCUCUGCAGGAUCAAGCUUCUUGCCGACUUAAAGAAAUAAAAGGUCUUCAUGAAGAGAGAGUACAUAUAUUGCAGUAGUUAUCUAACUUGCAGGUCACUUUAAUGUAUAACUAGUCUUUUGUGUGUGCUGGUUUUAUACUUUAAAAUAUCAUUUCACUAAUGCUAACUCUUCUCGCAAAUGGACAGAGUAAAUUGAAGAAUGUAGCAUGUAUUUCCUCUUCCCAAGCCUACCUCUUAGUGAGAGAUCAUAUUGAAAAAUCAAAAUCUGAAGUUAUUGAGUAUCAGGCUUCGUAUGAGAAACUUCAGGUUGCAACUGGCUGAGAAGGAUAUUCUUGUCUUAAAGGAAAGGGAACUCAGUGUUAAAAGUGAUGUCAUUGAUUUCCUUCGAAGAUCUGCUGCAAUUGAGAUUCACUGGUCAGGCUGCUGAGAUACAGAAAUUGCA